rnacentral:rRNA from 1 species
UACGUAGGGUGCGAGCGUUGUCCGGAAUUAUUGGGCGUAAAGAGCUCGUAGGCGGUCUGUCGCGUCGGUCGUGAAAACUUGGGGCUUAACCCUGAGCUUGCGGUCGAUACGGGCAUGACUGGAGUUCGGUAGGGGAGACUGGAAUUCCUGGUGUAGCGGUGAAAUGCGCAGAUAUCAGGAGGAACACCGGUGGCGAAGGCGGCGGCCUGGGUUGACACUGACGCUGAGGCGCGAAAGCGUGGGGAGCAAACAGG